rnacentral:lncRNA from 1 species
GUACCACCAAAAAUAAAGCAAGAAAUUAUGAUCGGUGAACAUAACCAAAGAUGACAAAAAUGAAUGUAAAUACUCCAUUCCGUUGACAACCAUAAAAUCCAUUCGUUCUUCAGCCAAGCUUAGUAAUCUCUGUAGUAAAACACAGCAUAUACCUAGGUCAUCAAGGAUGAAUAUGGAGGUUCGAGCUUCCACAUACAGAUAAAAGAACAAACCUGGCAUUUUUUCUGACAACCCAAGGGAGCGACAUAAAUCAGGUGUUUGGCGACGACGAGAGACCAUUGGUAUUAGCCUUGAUAAUUCUUCCUCAUUAAAGUCAGAAGCAAUAGAAAACGUUGCCAG